CUCGAAAGAGAACCUGCACACAGGUGCUGCAUGGCUGUCGUCAGCUCGUGUCGUGAGAUGUUGGGUUAAGUCCCGCAACGAGCGCAACCCUUGCCAUUAGUUGCUACGAAAGGGCACUCUAAUGGGACUGCCGGUGACAAACCGGAGGAAGGUGGGGAUGACGUCAAGUCCUCAUGGCCCUUAUAGGUGGGGCUACACACGUCAUACAAUGGCCGGUACAGAGGGUAGCCAACCCGCGAGGGGGAGCCAAUCCCACAAAGCCGGUCGUAGUCCGGAUCGCAGUCUGCAACUCGACUGCGUGAAGUCGGAAUCGCUAGUAAUCGCGGAUCAGCAUGUCGCGGUGAAUACGUUCCCGGGUCUU
rnacentral:rRNA from 1 species